rnacentral:lncRNA from 1 species
UUUUUUUUUUUUCCCGGGGAGUCGGCCUCGGGGCUCUGCUCUCCUACCUCAGUCUGCCCUACCCUGGAAUGGGGAAAAUGCGGACAUGCCACUCAGUCCGGCCGCGAACAGUGCUCCAGAACUCAGAGAGUUUUCCAGACGGGUGGAGAUCGCGUUCCCUGCCCGCCGAGGUCCCAUCGCUUCCCUGCUGGGAAGACAAAUGAGGCGCUUUAGCCGUCUCCACGGCCAGCCCCUCCCUCAUAACCCGAGAUUCUUUGUGGGCUCUUAGUCCAUAGCUGCCUUUGAGGUGGUGUAGACCUUGCUAACCAGGACGGCCCAGUAGGCAGAGCUCAUUUUUAUUCCUGUCUGCAAUCGUGCAAAAACGCCUCUUAUGGAAAAGCCAGAGCGCCAGGAGUCAGCAAAACACACUAAAGAUUGGGCAGUCACUGGGGAGAACACUCAGCCCGCCUGCACCCAGGUGAAAUAUACAGCCUUGUUGCUCACACAAAGCCUGUUUGGUGGUUUCUUCACACGGAUGCAUGUGACAUUUGGUGCUGAAGACCCAGGACAGGAGGACUCCUUUGGGAGACCAGUGCCCUGUUGUCGCCCUCACUCCGUGAGGAGAUCCACCUAUGAUCUCAGGUCCUCAGACCAACCAGCCCAAGGAACAUCUUGCCAAUUUCAAAUCGGGAGUGUCAGGCCUCUGAGUCCAAGCUAAGCCAUCAAAUCCCCUGUGACCUGCACGUGUACAUCCAGAUGACCUGAAGCAACUGAAGAUCCACAAAAGAAGUGAAAGUAGCCUUAACUGAUGACAUUCCACCAUUGUGAUUUGUUCCUGCCCCACGCUAACUGAUACCAUAUAUUCUUCCCCCGCCCUUGAGAAUGUACUUUGUACACCUAUCCCAAACCUAUAAGAACUAAUGAUAAUCCUACCACCCUUUGCUGACUCUCUUUUUGGACUCAGCCCGCCUGCACCCAGGUGAAAUAAACAGCCCUGUUGCUC